UGGGGAAUUUUGCACAAUGGGGGAAACCCUGAUGCAGCGACGCCGCGUGAUUUAGAAGGCCUUCGGGUUGUAAAAAUCUUUUUUACGGGAUGAAAAUGACAGUACCGUAAGAAUAAGGUCCGGCUAAAUACGUGCCAGCAGCCGCGGUAAUACGUAUGGACCGAGCGUUGUCCGGAAUCAUUGGGCGUAAAGGGUACGUAGGCGGCCUAGUAAGUUAGAAGUGAAAGAAUAUAGCUCAACUAUAUAAAGCUUUUAAAACUGUUAGGCUUGAGAGAUGAAAGGGAAAGUGGAAUUCCUAGUGUAGCGGUGAAAUGCGCAGAUAUUAGGAAGAAUACCGGUGGCGAAGGCGACUUUCUGGUCAUCAUCUGACGCUGAGGUACGAAAGCGUGGGUAGCAAACAGG
rnacentral:rRNA from 4 species